GGAGGGAUGGCCGAGAGGCUGAAGGCGCACGCUUGGAAAGCGUGUAUACGGGUUCCCGUAUCGUGGGUUCGAAUCCCACUCCCUCCGCCA
rnacentral:tRNA from 1 species